rnacentral:rRNA from 1 species
GACGAACGCUGGCGGCGUGCUUAACACAUGCAAGUCGAACGGUAAGGCCCUUCGGGGUACACGAGUGGCGAACGGGUGAGUAACACGUGGGUGAUCUGCCCUGCACUUCGGGAUAAGCCUGGGAAACUGGGUCUAAUACCGGAUAGGACUCCUGGCUUCAUGGUUGGGGGUGUAAAGCUUUUGCGGUGUGGGAUGGGCCCGCGGCCUAUCAGCUUGUUGGUGGGGUAAUGGCCUACCAAGGCGACGACGGUAGCCGGCCUGAGAGGUGACCGGCCACACUGGGACUGAGAUACGGCCCAGACUCCUACGGGAGGCAGCAGUGGGGAAUAUUGCACAAUGGGCGCAAGCCUGAUGCAGCGACGCCGCGUGAGGGAUGACGGCC